rnacentral:misc_RNA from 1 species
AUCACGAAUUUGUAACCCUGAACUAAAAGGAAUUUGUGCUGCCUCCAUGGCUGCAAUUAGAUUCUCAGAAUUUGCACCAUCCAAAGUAUCCCCUUUCGGUGAAAUACUAAAGCCCACUUCCUCAUCAUUAUCUUCUUCUCCAUCUUCACCGUCUUUUUCCUCUUUUUCUCCCACCUCUUCUUUCUGCUUUCUCUCCUCACAUUCCACAUCCCCAACUUCACCAAGAUUACAUUGCCGCAGAAAAUG